UCUGUGAUGCCCUUAGACGUUCUGGGCCGCACGCGCGCUACACUGACGGAGCCAGCGAGUUUAUACCUUGGCCGAGAGGUCCGGGAAAUCUUGUGAAACUCCGUCGUGCUGGGGAUAGAGCAUUGUAAUUAUUGCUCUUCAACGAGGAAUUCCUAGUAAGCGCAAGUCAUCAGCUUGCGUUGAUUACGUCCCUGCCCUUUGUACACACCGCCCGUCGCUACUACCGAUUGAAUGGCUUAGUGAGGCUUCCGGAUUGGUUUAGAGAAGGGGGCAACUCCAUCUUGGAACUGAAAAGCUAGUCAAACUUGGUCAUUUAGAGGAAGUAA
rnacentral:rRNA from 1 species